rnacentral:snRNA from 1 species
AAGGCACGUGUCGUUGGC